rnacentral:rRNA from 1 species
GACGAACCGUGCGAACGUUAUUCGGAAUCACUGGGCUUAAAGGGCGCGUAGGCGGGUUGCCAAGUCUGUGGUGAAAUCCUCCGGCUUAACCGGAGAACUGCCGUGGAUACUGGCGACCUCGAGGGGGGUAGGGGCUUGCGGAACUGUGCGUGGAGCGGUGAAAUGCGUUGAUAUGCACAGGAACUCCGGUGGCGAAGGCGGCGAGCUGGACCCUUUCUGACGCUGAGGCGCGAAAGCCAGGGGAGCGAACAGG